rnacentral:misc_RNA from 1 species
AUGGGUGCCCCGACGUUGCCCCCUGCCUGGCAGCCCUUUCUCAAGGACCACCGCAUCUCUACAUUCAAGAACUGGCCCUUCUUGGAGGGCUGCGCCUGCACCCCGGAGCGGAUGGCCGAGGCUGGCUUCAUCCACUGCCCCACUGAGAACGAGCCAGACUUGGCCCAGUGUUUCUUCUGCUUCAAGGAGCUGGAAGGCUGGGAGCCAGAUGACGACCCCAUGGUCUUACUCUGUCACCCAGGCUGAGUGCAGUGGUGUGAUCUUGGCUCACCUCAGCCUCGACCCCCUGGGCUCAAAUGAUUCUCCCACCUCAGCUUCCCAAGUAGCUGGGACCACAGGAGAGAGCUCUGUUAGCAGAAUGAAAAAAUUGGAAGCCAGAUUCAGGGAGGGACUGGAAGCAAAAGAAUUUCUGUUCGAGGAAGAGCCUGAUGUUUGCCAGGGUCUGUUUAACUGGACAUGAAGAGGAAGGCUCUGGACUUUCCUCCAGGAGUUUCAGGAGAAAGGCAAAGGAAACCAACAAUAAGAAGAAAGAAUUUGAGGAAACUGCGGAGAAAGUGCGCCGUGCCAUCGAGCAGCUGGCUGCCAUGGAUUGAGGCCUCUGGCCGGAGCUGCCUGGUCCCAGAGUGGCUGCACCACUUCCAGGGUUUAUUCCCUGGUGCCACCAGCCUUCCUGUGGGCCCCUUAGCAAUGUCUUAGGAAAGGAGAUCAACAUUUUCAAAUUAGAUGUUUCAACUGUGCUCUUGUUUUGUCUUGAAAGUGGCACCAGAGGUGCUUCUGCCUGUGCAGCGGGUGCUGCUGGUAACAGUGGC